rnacentral:lncRNA from 1 species
AUGGUGGAGUUAAGGAAAGAAAUUAGGAGUUGUGCCCAAGGCCCUGCCCUCCCUGGCAGAGGAGAAACUUACAGUGCCAAAGAUGCAACGACGUUAGGCGGAAGACCGCGUUCUCAAAUUGCAGGUCCCUCGCGGGGCUCACUACCGCGCUCUCCGCAGUCCGUAGGUCUCUCCGGUACGCGGACUACUGAGCAUGCGGGACGUCCUGCGCAGGCGCACCAUAGCCGCUUGUCACUGCAGGCUCCAACUCCAGCGCCAGAGAACUCCACUUGUCCGCGUUUUACGCAGGCUCGCCGCAGGUGCCGCGCCAGGAAAUCUAUUGGUUUUCAAAUGAAGUUUGGUGAUGUCCAUCUGUAAUCUCAGUAGUAGAGAGGCCGAGGCAGGAAGACUGCGAGUCAGAGGCCAGCCGGGUUACCUCUGAAAACACAGUGGACCCGUCAGUAUUUUUCUGUACAGGGAGCAGCGCUCUGGGCCUUGGGAUUCGUGGUAAGGCCGUUCCCA